rnacentral:tRNA from 1 species
GGGGUUGUGGCUCAGUGGUAGAGCACUUGCGUAGCAUGCACGAGGUACUGGGUUCAAUCCUCAGCACCACA